ACAGACAAAUAUUGUGGCUUUAACUAUCUUAAUAGCACAUUAUAUGAAAGUAGCGUACCAUCGUUUUAUGGAGACUGUAACGCAAAUAGAAACUAUUUUUGUAUAAAUCAAACAGGUAAACCUUUUCGUAUAUUUAUAUCAUAUCACAAUUUGUUCAAACUAACAUGAUUCAUGUACGUGAAAAUCAACUAAGAAAAUAACAAAGUAAUAAAAAAUGAUUAAUGUAGAUGAUGUAAAAAUUAUUCUUUUAGUUUACAGAUAGAUCUUACAAUAAUAAAUAUAGGAACACGAUUAAAACAUAGAGGUAAUUAGAUUAUUUAUGUGACAUUAUCUUGUAUAUUUUUAUCUUGCACAUGCUUCACAGGAAACUUAGUUGUGUACAACAAUAGUCGAGAAAAUAUUCAUUGUGAUUAUAACAUUUCAUUAACUGACUUGCAAAGCAUGCAGGCAACAAUUAAGCCAGGAUACUAUUGGAAUACGGGGGUAUUGUAUGGGACAGGUAAUACUUGUAUCAAGCUGUUAAAUUACUUUAAAUAAAGCCAUAACAAGAAAACAUUGUUUCGAACAUUUUUUUUUAAUUUUUAGGUUAUUAAAAUGUUAAAUAAUAAAAAGGCUACGAUUAAUCAUAUGCAAAUGUAUGAGAAAGUUGAAUUAUAAGCUACGACAAGGAGCCAUGGCAACCGCCGAUAGGUCUGACAGUGUUUUUAUUGAUAAUAUAAGUUACAUUGACAAAAUGAAUAGCACAACCAAUAAUUCAAAAGUGAUUUAUUUAUUAAUCAAAUGUUUGUAAAUCUUUUCGCCCUAUUUAAUUACUAUAUCAAGCAGUCAUGUGUGUCCUUUUGCAGCUGAAAUAUCUAGUGCAUGGGCGCAUUACAUCGACGGUUAGUAGCAAAGUUAGAGUACCAAUUUAUAAUCGCCUGUCUUAACUACACACAUCUUUCACAUAGGGCUGUUGGUUUCUUUUAGAACAUAUUAGUUGAAAAUUAUAGCUUUGGUACAAAUAAAUCAUUAAAUAAAAAUUAUAUGAUAAUGGUGUUUGUGAACACAAAUUUCCAUUAAAUACAAAAUAAUUUGUAAUAAAUUUCAUAAUAAAUGAUGAAAAAGGUUACUGAAUUUGACCGUAGUGUUGUUGAAUAAUAAUAAGGGAGGAAUAAAAAAAAUUAUUGCGUUCAAAAGUUUUACCCCCACAGAAACAAAAGCCAUCUUAAGAUACUCGUGAUAUGUUUUAUUUUUUAUAAAAAAUCUGUAUUUAUUAAUUUUACAGUUCGAGGUAUAUUAUGUGGAGCCUAUAGAAGUUCAAUUGGAAUGUAUUAUGCUAACUGCACAGAGAAACGCUUUUCGUUAUGUUCAAGCAAUGGGAAUGGACCAAUUAAUAACUUUUGUUUUGAUGGAAUCAACACAACAAUAGCACAGACGACAGUCCGCCAAGAAAUAACUACAGAUAAAACUCAUACAUCAACCAAACAGUCAAUGACAGGAAUGACAACUUCAGUCGAUAAUAAAACAAAAGUAAACAAAAUACAUACACACUUGAAACGAGAGCACACUCAAA